CACCAUCCAAGCUACAAUCAAAAGUGGCAGAGUGGGAAUAACUCACGUUGUUCCAAUCAUUCGCCAGGAGUUGGGAUAAGCGACCGGAUCGGCAAUGUCCGCAAGAUCUACGCCGGGCAGUCAGAUGGGGAGCGAACCCAAACGAGCCGGGAAAGAGUGUGCAUCCUGUGGACAACGAGUUCGGGGAAGAGAAAGGAUAUGCUCAUGUGGGCAUGAUUUGGAGGCACAACGGCAAGCUCUUCGUGUAGCACGUCAACAAGAGCAGCGGAGGAAAGGCAAGAAGCUCCGCGAUGACAAUCAGGACAAA